rnacentral:rRNA from 1 species
UACGAAGGGGGCUAGCGUUGUUCGGAUUUACUGGGCGUAAAGCGCACGUAGGCGGAUCUUUAAGUCAGAGGUGAAAUCCCCAGGCUUAACCUGGGAACUGCAUCCGAUACUGGAUGGCUUGAAUCCGGGAGAGGGAUGCAGAAUUCCAGGUGUAGCGGUGAAAUGCGUAGAUAUCUGGAGGAAUACCGGUGGCGAAGGCGGCAUCCUGGACCGGCAUUGACGCUGAGGAGCGAAAGCUAGGGGAGCAAACGGG